GAAUUUAAUAGCCACGAUAGAGAAAGUGAAUCUUUGCUGAAUUAUAUAUUCCAGGUGUCCAGAAAGAGACAACAUUGUCAAGUUUUGAUGUUAGCACGAAAUUAGUUUCUCAUACAGCUGUUGCGUCUUCCACGCCCCUCAAGACUUCAUCAAAGAGACCUUGUCUGGACCUUGAGGAAGAUGAAGAUAUCCUACAGGAAUGCUCUUCAAUACUAACAGCACAAGAGACUGAUGUCACAUUUAAUCCUGCAGAGGCAGACACAUCAAUAACAGCCAAAAGACUUGUCAUAAGUUUAUAUUAUAUUUUAGAAUAAUGUUUGUUUUAAUUAUAGCAUAUCUAAUUUUUAUGUAGUGCUUAUGUAAAUUGAUGUUUUUUUUUUUUUUUAUUCAGAGCUCAAGAAUCCAGCCCUAUUCCAAAAAUGUGUAAAUAUAUUGUCUCUGAGACCUGCAUCAUGGAACUGUUUGAGCUGUGCCCGGUAUGUCAUAGAAGCUGUCAUAUAAGAUCACAAAGGAUUGAACAUUUCUUCGUGUUGAACAACUCUGCCACCAUUGUCAGUUCUCACGGAAAUGGAACAGUCAGCCGAUUUUGGGCAGUACUCCAGCUGGAAACCUUCACCUUUCUGCUGCUGUGUAUCUCAGUGGUGCUUCAUUUUUCACAAUUGAAAAGAUAUUUGCAGCUAUGAAGUUACAUCUUUUCAAGUACGACACCUUUAGUCAUCAUGCACAAAUGUGCAUUGAGCCUGCUGUUGUUUACAAAUGGAGAAACUGGCAGGAUGAGAUGCUACAGCUGUUGGCUCAAAGGGAAAAGGUCAUUGUUGGAGGAGAUAUGAGGGCUGACUCACUAGGGCACUCUACCAAAUAUGGCAGUUACACAAUGAUGGACCUGGAGACAAACACCGUUGUUGAUGUACAACUCGUCCAGAGUAAUUAAGUGGGAGGAAGUUACCACAUGGAAAAGGAAGGUUUGAAGAGAGGUCUUGACUUUUUGGAUGCUCAUGGAGAGCCUCUGGACUGCAUUGUUAC